GACGAACGCUGGCGGUGUGCUUAACACAUGCAAGUGGAGCGACGAACCAGGGCUCGCCCUGGGGCAGAGCCGCGAACGGGUGAGUAACACGUGGGUAACCUACCCCGAUGACCGGGACAACCCGAGGAAACUCGGGCUAAUACCGGAUGUACCCGACGCUCAUGAGAGCGUCGUGCAAAGGAAGCUUCGGCCUCCGCAUCGGGAGGGGCCCGCGGCCCAUUAGCUUGUUGGUGGGGUAACGGCCUACCAAGGCUGCGAUGGGUAGCUGGUCUGAGAGGACGAUCAGCCACACUGGGAAUGAGACACGGCCCAGACUCCUACGGGAGGCAGCAGUGGGGAAUCUUGCGCAAUGCGCGAAAGCGUGACGCAGCAACACCGCGUGAGGGAAGACGGCCUUCGGGUUGUAAACCUCUUUCAGGAGGGACGAAGGCAGGCCGGUUAACAGCCGUGCCGGCUGACGGUACCUCCACAAGAAGCACCGGCUAACUACGUGCCAGCAGCCGCCGUAAGAC
rnacentral:rRNA from 1 species